AUGUUAGCUGCGUCAGAAUUAAGUCCGCAAAUGCGUUUUCAUCUCCCAUUUUUCGCAUUUACUCUUAACAUAAUUCAAAAACCACCUCAAGCGAGCAACAAACUUCUUUGCGAAUCAAGGUAUUUUUAAUCGAAAUUUUGGUCAUUGUGGAAAUCAUGGUGAUGGAAACAUGGCUAAUGACUGCAAGAGCUAGAUCACACGUGCACGUAAAUGCAACAGCCAGAGGAAGAAUCCAUUGUUGGAUCCGGCCAAAGAAUCUUAUCCAUGAAAACAAUAUGUGUUCUAUUCUGCUCUCGCUUCUCUGGGGAUGCAUGACGAAUCGAUUUAUUCAGAGGUACAGCUGAGGCAUUACAAGAUGAAAGACAAACCUAAGACAAAACCGAUCUCCAUGAACUUUCAACCACCCCAGUGACACCUGCAUGAACACACCCUACAGCAUCAACAACAAGGCUAAUCGAUCCAUCACCUGUAAUCCAUCACCUUUCGACUGGACUUCACCGGGUAGUCUUAAAGCUACCCCUGACCUUUGGACCGAUCAAGCAGAGAGGUUUAGAGAAAAAAAGUUUUGCAUGACUUACGUCGGCUUGCCGCAGAUGGAUUUCUUGUACCAGUUCCUGCAUGUGCUGAAGUACUUCUUUUUAGUCCCCAAGACCUGUUGUAAAGCGCACACAUUGGGCCUGAAAAAGACCAGAGGGAGGAGGUGUUGAUAAAUGCAUACUUACAGACAGACUUGCACACCACAGGUGUGUCCAGUUAGACAGGUAAUUAUAUUUCAAUAUAAUUAUAAUUUAGACAAAUUUAAAUAAAUAAUAAUAAUAAUUUAUGCAGAGUAUGUUAUUUUAUAUAAUUAAUGGUAUUUAUUAACAACAAAUACAGAAGUAUCAUGGUAAUGAUCCAUAUACCUCUAUAAUUCUUUUCUUGAAUAGUAAGACAUUUUUCUAAAACAAUAGCAGCUUCAUUUUCCUGACCAGGACUGUGAACAAGUCACACAUGAAUAAAUAAUUUAAUAUCAAAAUUAUGGUUAUAAAUUAUGAUAUAAAUUAAUAAAUAAAAAAAUUCCCAUUACUAAUUAUAUUAUCAACAUGUCACUUUUUUUGCAACAUCCAAAGAGCAUCUUGUGCUACAAUGGAAGCAACGAAAUCUUAAUUUUUAAAAGCAUUAACAUAAUCAAUGUAAGUGAUUUGCAUAUUUGAGUUACAUGAAUAUUCAUAAAUAUAUUUCUUAGUAUUUCAUCAUUUUAAAAUGUCAGUUUC